CUGUUUAACAAAAACAUUUCUUUUUGAUUUUAUAAAAGGUAUAUUCUGCCCUAUGAUAUUAAUUAAAUGGCUGCAGUAUAUUGACUGUGCAAAGGUAGCAUAGUAAUUAGUUUUUUAAUUGAAGGCUGGUAUGAAUGAAUGAAUGUAAUAUAUAUUUUAUUUAUUUAAAUUUUAGAAUUUAAAUUUUGAGUCAAAAUGCUUAAAAAUAUUCUUGGGACGAUAAGACCCUAUAGAACUUUAUAUUAAUAUAUAAUUAUUUAUUUAUAAAAAUAAUUUUUUAAUUUUUAUUUAUAAUUCGCUGGGGUGGUAUUUAAAUUUUAACUUUAAAUUUUAGUUUCAUUAUUUGUGUUUAUUUAGAUCUUUAUUAAGGAUUAUAAGACUUAGUUACCUUAGGGAUAACAGCGUAAUUUUAAUGGGGAGUUCAUAUCUAUAUUAUUUUUUGCGACCUCGAUGUUGAAUUAAGAAAAUCUUAAGAAGUAGAAUUCUUAAAUAUGAGUCUGUUCGACUUUUAUAUUCUUACAUGAUCUGAGUUCAAACCGGA
rnacentral:rRNA from 1 species